GCCAAAGUAGCUCAGUUGGUAGAGCACAGCUUUCGUAAAGCUGGGGUCGUGAGUUCGAUCCUCACCUUUGGCU
rnacentral:tRNA from 1 species